rnacentral:pre_miRNA from 1 species
UCUUAUGGAUAAGCAAAGAAAGUGGUCUCUUGAGAUGGAAACUACUCCUAAUGAAGAUGCUGUGAC